CCUACGGGUGGCUGCAGUGGGGAAUAUUGCACAAUGGGCGCAAGCCUGAUGCAGCCAUGCCGCGUGUGUGAAGAAGGCCUUCGGGUUGUAAAGCACUUUCAGCGGGGAGGAAGGCGGUGGGGUUAAUAACCUCAUCGAUUGACGUUACCCGCAGAAGAAGCACCGGCUAACUCCGUGCCAGCAGCCGCGGUAAUACGGAGGGUGCAAGCGUUAAUCGGAAUUACUGGGCGUAAAGCGCACGCAGGCGGUCUGUCAAGUCGGAUGUGAAAUCCCCGGGCUCAACCUGGGAACUGCAUUCGAAACUGGCAGGCUAGAGUCUUGUAGAGGGGGGUAGAAUUCCAGGUGUAGCGGUGAAAUGCGUAGAGAUCUGGAGGAAUACCGGUGGCGAAGGCGGCCCCCUGGACAAAGACUGACGCUCAGGUGCGAAAGCGUGGGGAGCAAACAGGAUUAGAUACCCGGGUAGUC
rnacentral:rRNA from 1 species